CGAAUUUCGAAACGUCGAAAUCGAACUUCACAUUACAAGCCAGACGACAAAUAUAGCUCACACGAUUGCCAACAGAUGGCAUUUCGACAGAUUACAAACCAUUUACGUUACAAAAAAAAAAGUUUAUUUAAAAUAUAGUUUAAAAACGUUGUACUAAUUUUAUUUAAUAAUAAUUUUACAAAAAGAAAAUAGAAAAGUAAGAUAUUUCAAACAUUUAAUUAUCAGUUACGGAGAUUUCUAAUUUCAAGAUGGCAGCUUCCAUGAAGUUGGAUGAGGUAUCUUUUAUGUUAGAACAAUGUGUGAAUGUUCUCUUGACUAAUGAUCUAAAGGCUGCUACUUUAUACAUAAAGGGAGCGCUAGAGCUUGCUGGAAUGAAUAAAGGCUUAAAUUCUGGUUUGUAGUGUACUCUUGUGAUGAUAUUACCAUAAUGGAAUUUUAUUUAAUAUCCAAGAAGUGCACCUCUAUGGAACUAAGUUUUAAAGUGAGACCAUAUGGGUUUAUAUUAAAGACCUGUAAAUGUUACUAUGAAAUUGAUUUUAAUUGAUAAUGAUUCUUAAUUUUAAUUUUGAAAACAUAUGUCAUCGAAUGUAAUAAGGCAAUUACAUAAUUUAAAAACACUCCAAUAUGCUUUAGAACAUUGAGACAUUGCAUUUAUUUAAAAAUAAGAAGUUCCAGUUAGACCUGAAGCUGACUAGUGAAUGUAAUUGAAAUUGUUCAUAAAUCAUCUACUUUACUGCUGGAAAAGUACAUAGGUUGACUUAUGAAAUGAAGAAAAACUGCCAGAAUUAUUAAUUUUUUACUAUAAUUGAAUUGAAAAAUAUAAAUUAAUGAAGGAGUUAUUUCAUGGAUAGAUGUGGGAUAUUUUGCUUAAAUCUGCCUAAUAUAAAAUGAAAUAAAUUGAAGAUAUUGAAGAAAAAUGUUAGAUAAAGAUAUUCCUCUCAAUAAUUUAAAUAUUCCUCCCAGUGAAAGUGGAACUAAUUCAAGAUGGGAUUGGAUAAAUUUGUUGCAUUUAUUAACACCUAUUGC